UUCCUUCUAUGAUAGUAGAUAGCCUUUUUGUUAUGAGUCCCUUGGAAUUGUCCUGGAUCCUUGCAGAGCUGAUAAUUGUAUUUAUUUCUAAAUAUCUCCAAUAGCACCUAUUACUGUGCUAGGCACAUAGUAAGCAAUCAGUAAAUAUUUGUUAAAUGAAUGAAUGUAGAUUUAUAUCCUGCUUUCAGUUGCAGAAUGUUUUAUAUGAAUUAUCUCAUUCAAUUCUUAGAACCCACCUUUUGAGGUAGGUAGUAUAAGUGGUAUUGCCUCCAUUUUAUAGACUAGGAGCAACUAACUCAUUUGUCUAAAAUUAUUCAGCCACUAGGUGAUAGAUAUGGGACUUAAACCCAGGUUUUCUGACUCCCAAGUCCAUUGGUCUUUAUAUUGUAGCACUGAAAAAGGAAAUUGGGGAGCAUUCCCUGAAAGAACAGUUCUAAUGAUUUCAACUAAAAAAGGUCAAAUUGUCUUCACUAAUCUGCUCAAGAAUAUGUGUAUUUUACCUAAUAAUAUUGAUUAAUAAUAUUAUUUAUUAGUUUGGGUGAAACAUGACCUCAAGUGAAACAAAAUCAUGUUUUGACCACCAGCCAGCCUACAUAACAACAGGGUUUCAUGAUCCUACAUUGGUGUUUGGUUUUAUCUCACAGGCCAAAGUGGCACAGUACAAAGAGUGCCAGGCCUGGAGUCAGGAAGUCUCCUCUUCCUGAAUUUAAAUCUGGCCUCCAACACUUAUCAGCAGUGGGAUCCUGGGCAAGUCACUUAAGCUAGUUUGCCUCAGUAUCUUCAUCUUUAAAUGAUCUGGAAAAUAAAUGGCAAAUCAGUCUAGGAGCAUUGCCAAGGAAACCCCAGAUGGGGGCACAAAGAGUCAGAAAGGACUGAAAAAUAACAUAAAUGACACUAUUAUAUUGGAUGGGAUAGCGAGAAUCAUAUGUGUGUACUUGUAUAUUCUCUGACUAUUAAACAUGAGUAAAAUGAGGUCGGAUAAGAUGAUCCCUAAAGUCCAUUCCAAAUUUAAGUUCUCAGAGCCUAUAUAAGAUCUUUUGCUACUCCAAGAACCAAACAUCUACUAGGAAAGAUUGAUAGCAUCUUUAAGUUGAAUAUGCUGACAAACGUGACCUGGGAAUUUGACUUGGGAAUACUUCCACUAAUACCAGUUGGGCAAAAUUAUUCUGUCCCUUGAUAGCAAUCCUCCAACUUCAAACCCUAAACGGCUAUCCAAUGGCACAUGGUCAUCUAGACUCUAUUUGAAAACUUCCAGUGAUAGAAAGUUCACUACUUUCCAGUGUAAAAAUGGAUAUUCUUGAUGUUGUAAUAAAAGCUCUUCUCCAUUGAUAAUGAUGUUGUAUCAGUGAAGAGAGGAAAGGGCUUCUGUUACAGGGACAGUAUGAGAGGGAAAGAGCCAGGGCUUGUGAGAGUCUGAAUGUUGUCUUUCUCUCCCUCCCCUGAGAUAGACAGUUACAGCCUGAGUCCCCUGGAGUAAUGGCUGGAGAGGACCUGAAGAUAAGCUUCCCCUCUCAACCACACUUAUGGAUGUCUUCAGUGCCUCUCCCUGGGAAAGGAUCUAGAGAUGAGGAAACUAAGACCCAGAGAGGAAAAGUGACAUGGCCAAGGUGAUAAAGGUUUUCAGGUAUUUGUCAGGCAGUAUUUUUUUACUUUUCAGUUUCCAGUUGGAUUAGUAGAUGUGAAAAAUCCUUUCAGGGUGAGUUCUGAUUUUAUGUGAGGAUUUCAUCUGGAGAUGAGACUGGCUGGGAAGACAGCAAAUAAAUGCUCAGCUUGUGUUCAAAACAUUCUGUGCUCUCCCCUUCAUCAAAACUUUUACCUAAAAGAAUUGGAAACUAAGAGGGUGUCCAUCACUAGGGAAUGGAUAAGCAAGCUGUGGUGUAUGAUUGUAAUGGAAUACUAUUACAUCACAAAGAUGGAUAAACAGUUUGAGUUCAGGAAAACCUAGAAAGACUUUUAAGACCUGAUGUAAAGUGAAGUGAGCAGAACCAGGAAAACGAUGUAUAUAAUAAUAGAAAUACUGUGCAAUGAUCAGCUACUAAGGACUAAACCACUAUCAGCAAAGCAAGUCUCGAAGAUAACCACAAGAGACUCAUUAUGAAAAUGAAAUCCACAGCCAAAGAAGGAACUUUGGGAGUCUAAGUAUAGAUCAAAGCAUGCCAUUCUCAACUAUAUUUCCUUCAUGAGAUUUCUAUUGUAUUUGUGAUAUGUGACUUCUACUAUGACAGAAGUAAUAUGGGAAUGUUUAUGACAGAGAAGUAUAGAUAUAACCUAUAUCAGACUAUUCAUUACUUUUGGGAAGGGUGGAGGGUUGGGAGGGAGAAAACUUUAAUUCUAAAAUGUCAAAAAAAUCAAUCAUCAAAAUGUUUUCUACAUAUAACUAAAAAAAAAUUUAAAUCCUGUGCCUAGUUUUUCCUUGGUUUAUAAACAUAUUCAGACUUUCACAUAUCUCUUUCUAAUUUCUACAAUAAUCUACUUCUCUGGCUGGGACCCUUCAUUAGACCAUUAAAUAAAAGUGACAAAAUCUGCAUGAGAAGAUUCUUUGUCACUCCAUGUUUGGACUUGCAGGGUAGUUAGUUAAAACUGGGUGGAUAUUUAUCAAGCAAAACUGAAUUCAUACCUUAAUGAAAUGGUGACUACAUUUGCAAGCUGUUAUUUUAGUGAGGGGAUAUUCUGUAUCAUUCCAGCAGCCUUUCUGCCUUUAUUUUAUAAGAUUUUUGGCUGAAAUAGCUUUCUCCUUGCCGUAAUACUUUCUCACUUCAAUUUUCCUGAGAGUUUCUAUUUACUCUGUAAUCAUUAUCCCACUAGUUAAUAAUCUUUCCUCCAGUUAAAAAAAAAAAAAACAUUCAUCAGGUAAUGUGGUUUCAAAGUGCUGUCUUUUCUUUCCCUUAAGAAUCACCUUUAAGCUGUGUAGCAACCAUGUCACUUUGUUACACCAAGAUUUUCAUUUUGUCACUGGGUUCUAGUGC